UACGGAGGGUGCGAGCGUUUAUCGGAAUUACUGGGCGUAAAGCGUGCGUAGGCGGAUGCUUGAGUCGGAUGUGAAAGCCCCGGGCUCAACCUGGGAAUGGCAUUCGAUACUGGGCAUCUAGAGUGUGGUAGAGGGGGGUAGAAUUCCUGGUGUAGCGGUGAAAUGCGUAGAUAUCAGGAGGAAUACCGGUGGCGAAGGCGACCCCCUGGACCAACACUGACGCUGAGGUACGAAAGCGUGGGUAGCAAACAGG
rnacentral:rRNA from 1 species